UCCUACGGGACGCAGCAGUGGGGAAUAUUGCACAAUGGGGGAAACCCUGAUGCAGCGACGCCGCGUGAAGGAAGAAGUAUUUCGGUAUGUAAACUUCUAUCAGCAGGGAAGAAAAUGACGGUACCUGACUAAGAAGCCCCGGCUAACUACGUGCCAGCAGCCGCGGUAAUACGUAGGGGGCAAGCGUUAUCCGGAUUUACUGGGUGUAAAGGGAGCGCAGACGGCAGUGCAAGUCUGGAGUGAAAGCCCGUGGCUUAACUACGGGACUGCUCUGGAAACUGUGCAGCUAGAGUGCAGGAGAGGCG
rnacentral:rRNA from 1 species